UAAAACAGGCUUCAUCCCGAACGCCAGCAUCAAUCCUAUCUUCUUCUCCCCUUGCUCCACCGCUCAGAGCACACUGCUCUGUCUCCGCCACGCAAUACAGAGAGGAGUGGCCUUCGCCGGCGACGAGGCUCCUCCCUGACCAGAUCCCGCCACAGUCGCGGCGGCAGGGGUCGAGGACGACGACCACGAGGGAUCCGCGGAGGGGGCCAGGGAUUUGGCGUUCGCUACAGCCGAGCACCAGGUACUGCCACGCUACGACUCAGCUCCUCGCCGACCGGAGCGAGGUGCCGUCGCGGUCCGAUGCCGAGCGCCGCCGCGAGCACCAGGCCGCCGCGCUCGGGGCGACGCUGCCCGCACCAUCCCUGCGAUGCGCCCACCUCCAACCCGGCGGCGAUGGCGAUGUCCGCGAGGCCCUGGGCGCGAGGGAGGCGAUGGCGAUCAGCUGAAGCGGCGGCGCCGUCAUCCUACACCGGGAGGCGGGGCCUGGUGGUGCACGAGGCUGCGGGACGCGGAAGGGGGAGAAGCAAUGGAGGUACUGUUCGAGGAGGCGGGGCGCGGAGGGAGAGAGCAGUGGAGGUGCUGACGCUGACGCCGCGGCGCUUCAUGGAGGUCAACUAGGAGGUGGACGAGGCCUUGCAGCUCGCAGCCGACCUGCUCGCCGAUGCGCCAAUAGGGAUCUGCUCGCCGGCGGGGACGCCGUUUUCUUCUAGUGAUGUGCGGAUGGUGAACUGCUCGCCGGGAUUCACCCCGAGCCCAGGUAUUCCGCCGCCUCCUAGUAGCCGCCCGAGCUGUGCUCAUGUGCCUUGCCGUUAGCUGAGCUCUCCUACUGCUACUGACCUGGGACGAGCACAACAGCAGAGCACAUGCGUGCAGAUUUAGUUAGAACAGGAAGUUUCGUCACAAAGAAUGGUUCAGGUUCAGCUUAAUGUACACUGAAACUUUGCACUUUUGUUGUACAGGGAGUGGGAGUAUUCGGGGAUAGGAUAUGUGCAUCGAGCAGAGGGGGCCGGUGUUCACUUCAGGUUUCUUGCCUCAGUCAGAUCAAUUCUGGAGUCCUUGAUCUCCCCGUCCUUCAUCAACAGCUUUACGUGGGAAGGUAUUGGAUAUUACUAAAAGUUUAGGAGAGCAAAUGUAUGAUAGACAAAUAUGCAAAAUAAGAAUGAACUCUUUUUUAGUUGUUCGGUAGCACAUCAUACACUGAUUGCACUGAAACAGGAAUUGCUAGACUAUUGAUGGAGAAGAUCAUGUGUCCCCUUUUUUUAUGUUGUCUAGCAGUGACUUGGGAAUUUGUUUAGCAGUGACAUGCCAAUUUGUUUGACUUUAGAUUUCUGGUUCACAUGGGUACACAUUGGGUACAUCUUGACAAUAUUUUUUCUGGAAUAGUUUCUUUUGAGCAUGGCAAAUUGUGUAGAACAUGAUAUUUAGUACAAUAUGGCAAAUUGGCAACUAGUGUCUAGUGUUUAGCACUGUUUAGUGUUGUUUGUCCUCGUGCGAGAAUUAUAUUGUCAGGACCCUGACUCAAUGCCACAUCGAUCUAGCAUGUAACACCUCAUAUCACUUUGCGGCCUCACGCACGGUAUUCCCACGGGUGUCGCCUUACCUUUGCCCGGGACCGUUUGCGCCUUUUGGCACACGUAUAUGAUAGUGUCGCUAGCAUCCAUAUGAUAAGGAGCCCGGGCUGACAUGGCUAGUCGUAAACCCAAAGUGGCACAAACUUACAGGGACAGGCAUCCAUGACUCAGCAUCGAACGUGUCGGUCAUCAGCGAGUGAAUCCAGGCUGUAGCACUGGGCUAGCAGGACUCCGGUGAACCGGGCUGUAGCGGGCUAAUAGGACUCCGGUAUUCAUCGCGUGACAUUUCCCCGAGGGGACAGACACAGGAACGAAGAAGGACACAUGCCGGCCAGCCUAAGUGUUGCGGAGCAGUAGCAAGCUACCAUGGCUCGGUGGAAACACUAGGAGACAUUUCCCGGUAAGAGGGCUACUAAGGAUAAACAACUAGAUAGUCAGAUCCCACACAUACCAAGCAUUUCAAUAACAUACACACAAUAUGCCCGAUAUGUGCAAAUACAACAUGGCAUCACAACAUGACUCUACGACUCAAGUAUUUAUUCAUUAGGCUCCGAGGAGCGAGAUAUUACAAACAUAGGUCUUAUGACCCAACAUUCAGAGCAUACAAGUCAAAACACAAGCGGAAGCUAUCAUGUCUGAGUACAGACAUCUAUAAAUGAAAAAGGCUGAAAGCCUGACUAUCUACUAGAUCCUGCCGAGGGCACAAGAUCGUAGCUGAGGUAACAAGCUAAACGUCGAAGUCCACGCGGAAUUACUAGUGAGACUGAAGUCUCUGCAAAAACAUAAAAUAGGCAAACGUGAGUACAAAUGUACCUAGCAAGACUUACAUCAGAACUAACUACAUAUGCAUCAUUAUCAACAAGGGGAUGGUGGGGUUUAACUGCAGUAAGCCAGCUUUGACUCGGUGGCUAUCCUGAACUAUGACUGCAAGUAACUCUUUAGAGGUGGCGCACACGAGUCCACAUAUUCACCAUAUCAAUACACCACUAUGGAUCCGCUCCCGUCUCCCUACGAGAACGCCAUCCAUAGCACUCACGCUUAUCUUGCGUAUUUUAGGGUAUCCACUUUCACUUGCCUAUGAACUGAUAUAAGCAACCCAGAAGUCCUUUACCGCGGACACGACUAUUCGAAUAGAUGAUGUUAACCCUGCAGGGGUGUACUUCUUCAUACAUGUUUCCACCACUUAGCGUCUGCACACGACAUGUGCUCGGCAGACUUCAAGCGAAAGCCGACGUGGGUGUAGACCACGACCUACCUAAACACUCAAGUCUCUAGUCCAGGUUUAUCGCCUAUUCGGGUUCCAUCCAUGAGGAGAUCCGGCCGGGGUUUCGCUCACAGCCCCAAACGAUGUGAACAGGGUUCUGUGACACCAAACGGGCGCCCGGUAUACCCGGCCACGGUGUAUCUACCGCAUCACAGCCCACCCCUCGGGUCAGCGCUGCCCACGGCCUCCAACACAUAUCCUACAAACACCAGAAACUAGUUGCAACUCCUGGACAGAGGACAAGGGUGAAUAAGAAGUCGAGCGGGGUCAUAUUUCAGGGCCCAAUGUAUGGUAGUAGCUGAAUCAUGGAUCACAAACACAGAACUCAGUUCCUAAGGACGGCUUCAAUGAGACAACCCACCAUGUACUCCUACAUGGCCUCUCACCGCUACCUUUACCAAAUCGUGUUCACCACUUAGCUCACACACAGUAGGACAUGUUCACACACCUCUGAUUCAUCCCCGAUGAAUCAGACCUGACUCAACUCUAAGCAAUAGCAGGCAUGACAAACAAACAUGAAUGAGUAGGCACCACAUGGCUCAAACAACUCCUACUCAUACUAGUGGGUUUCAUCUAUUUACUGUGGCAAUGAAAGGUCAUGCAGAGGAUAAAGGGGUUUAGCUAUCGCAGCAAGUAACAGAUGAAUCGUUGUUGUCCUAAUGUAGUAAAAGAGAGCAGGAGCGAGAGAGUGGGAUUGUAUCGGAAUGAACAAGGGGGUUUUGCUUGCCUGGCACUUCUGAAGAUAACAUCGAGUCUUCAUCAGUGUCAACGAUCACAUCGUCGGUACAACGUCUACCGAGGGGGAACAACACCGGCAAACACAGAAGAAACACGAUCAAUGCAAUGCACAAUAUGAUGCAUGCUAUGACAUGGCAAUAUGAAUGUGUUUUGGGCUAAUGCACCUAGCUAUGAUUUAAAUGAAGUUGGUUUGAUUACAUGAUUCAAAUUCCAACUCCAUAUAUGAUUAUUUAAAUGCCCUGUAUUUGUUUUGUCCAAAACAGAGGACAAACAUUGUUCAAACAUGGAUGAAAAUGGUACAGAUGGAUUCCUUAAAUUUUUCUGAUAAUUUUUCAUAUAUAAUUUGUUUGAUUUGGAGUCACGGUUGAAUUACUAUGACUUUUAGAAGUUUUAGCUAUUUUCUGAAAUAAAUAAAUCGUUUAGAUUUAUUUAAAAAUCCAGAAAAGGGUUUACUGCGUCAGCAUGACGUUGGCAUGACGUCAGCAGGUCAACAGGGGCUGGUCCGGGUCAAACCUGACCAGCGGGGUCCACUAGUCAGUGGCAUAACUAAUUAACCAAGUUAAUUAGCCUUAAGUUAAUUCUAACUAAAUUGUUUGUGGGGCCGGGGCCCACUAGUCAGCGACUAAUCAGCUAACUGACCUAGGUUAAUUAGUGUUAAACUAAUACUAACUAAAAAUGUCAGGGGGUGGCCCACACGUCAGUGACACACGGGGAAGGUCAAACCAUGGCCAAACUCGGGUCAACUCGCCGGAGUUGACCCGCGGCUCGUCGCCGGCAGAGCCAGAGACGGCGGAGGGGUGCGGGUUUUGUCCUUCGACGACCAAAUUAGCGGCCGAGACCACCCAUAGAGAGCUGGCACUCUCGCGCAUCCAUUGAAGCAAGCGAGAGAGGCUGCAGUGGAGUGAGCUCGCUGGAGUCGAGCUCGUGGCGGCGGCCGGAGUACGGGCGAGGUCCGGGUUGGCGCUAGGGGGCACGGGAGGGGGAGCUGGUGUGUGUGUUAGGCUCCUGGUGAGGUGUGGAGCACGUUGCCGUGCUCCGGGAGUUAGCUAUGGUGGCUCUGGCCUCGUCUGCGUCAUCGCCGGCGGCGAGGAGCUCACGGCCCCCGGUGAAAAGGGCGGCUAGAGUGCAGGAACGAGCGCGGGGAGGAGGGGGAAUGGAAGAGGAGCUCACAGCGGAUCCGAUAGAAGCAACGGCGAGGCCGGGGAGGGGCUGGAGCUCGCGAAUCCCCGAAAGUUCGCCGGCGGCCGAAGGUUGGGGACGAGCUCUGGGAAGACGCUACAGGGCUCCCGCAGUCGAAUGGGUUGGUGUAGAAGACACAGAAGGCGAUGGCGGUUCCUCUGGACUCAUCGGAGAGGCACGAGGUGGACGGUGGCCGCGGUGGUGCUCGUCGGCGGCGGCGGGUGUGUUCGGUGGUUGCGUGCGAGAGAGCCAGAGGAGGAGAGGAGCUCGGGGAGAGAGUGAGAGGCCCGGGGGGCGCGUGGAGCUGCGGGAGACGCCCAGGGAGAGGAGGAGGCAGCCAGGCAGGGUGGUGGCGUGGCGAGCUCGGCGGCGUCGCGGUGUCCCUCCUCUGCCUACUGGCACGAGGAGGAAGGCGACAGGGAGGAGGUGGUGGUGGGCUAGGCCGGCCAGCUGCAGUGUUGGGCCGGUUGGUGGCGCCAGGUAAGUGCCCCAGGUAGGCUCUCUCUCUCUCUGGUUUUUCUAUUUAUUAAUGUUUUCUAUUUUUUGUAAUUGGUUUUGAUUUGAUUUAAAACAUCAAAUCAUUUUUUUAACUUUUUGUAAAUUGUAUGUGAGCUCAGGAACUAGUCCAAGGUCACAGGAAACUUACAAAAAUAUUUGAACUUUAUUUCUUAUAUAAUAGAAAUAAAUUCAACUCAAAUAUGUCGUUGGUUUAAGUCAAAGGCCCAAAAUAAAUAUUUCUGUGAUACCAAAAAUAUUGGUUUGAAUUUUACCUCAUGCCAAUAUUUUUGCAGAAUAACAUGAACAUUUUCUUCGACUCAUUUGAUGAGAUUUAAAUGUUGGUUAUUUUUAGAGGACUUCUGAGGUUUUUGAAAAUUCCUCAAUUCAAAUUUCAUUUGAAUUUAAACAUAAUGCACACAUGGAAGCUGGCAUAGGUCAGACCAGAAUUAGGGAUGUGACAUAUAUUCAGUAAUUUGCCAUGGCAUUUGUCCUCCUGUAUUUAGUCUGUAGUGCAAAUUUUGUAAACUUGCCAUGUGAUCAGUACAUACAAACUCUAGCUUUGAAAUGAAUCAUGAAUCGAAUUUUCUCUAGAUUUUGCCAUGAAUCAAAAGUAUAUAUUGUUGAACACUGUUUUGCCAUGGCAAAAAGGAUUUUAUAGCUUUUGGCAUGCCUCUAAUAUAGCUUUUUCCAUGUCACCACUAUAACUUUUGGCAUGACAUACACAUAUUUUUUUUACCAAGGCAAAUUUGCUAAUCUGUUUGCCAUGCCUCUAAUAUAGUUUUCGCCAUGUCACCACUACAACUUUGGCCAUGUUCACAUGGAGUAGUAAAAAAACAAAUUUGAGUUGAUUGUAGAAAUAUGUGUUUGUUUCCCUUUUUUUGACUUUGUAGGAUUGAUGAUGACCACAUUAAGCAUUGCAACUUUUAAGAGAUUUGAUUUUGCUUUUGUACUUACUACUGCAAAUCCACCCAGGUAAGUUUGCCAUGUCAAUUAACAUGCAGUAUGUUUGUGCCAUGGCAAAUUUGCAUUCUUUUUCAUUUCAUUUACACGGCAAGUCUUCAAAACAUUUUAGUAUUCCCUCCAUCUCGAAAUAUAUCUACAACCUAGAAAAUUACCUAAAAACUAAUUACUUUUUUUAAACAGAAAGAGUUACUUUCGCGCCACCUAAUUUAGGUGUACAGUUGUUUGCGCCAAUACUUUUUAACCUCCCGCUAAAAGGUCCCAAAUUAGCGUCUUUGUUCCCACCAGAAAAUUAGCUUCCCGCUAAAUACCUUCCUAACAACCCACGAAUAUAUAAUUCUAGACCAAACGACGGCGUCUUCACGGGCGAUUGGAUCUGAGCUCUCGUCUCGGUUCAUCUCUGCUGCCGGCGUCAUGACGGCGUCAACAGAGCGAACCACAUCAGGUGCACAGCGUCAGGUUAGUCCUCCUCCCGAUCUCCUUCAUCGCUGAAAAAUCCAGUCCUCCUCGAUCUCCCCCUCCCCCCUCUCCUCUGCGUCCGCCUCCGUCCGGGAUCAAACCCCCCUCCCCCACGAGCUCCUCAUCGAUGCGCGGCUCUCUCAAUCCUGAUCCAUUCAGAGGGGCUGCCCCUUCUCUCCUCCGCUCGCCGCUUGGCCGUAGAAAAGAAGUCAGGGCAAUGGACAUGCCGCCGCCGGUGGCAUUUUCCCAUCGCGCCUCGAUUUGGCCGCCUCGGCUGAGGCGCUCGUGGCCUGGAGGGUCGGCGCAGCGCCUCACCUUGGCCUGGAGGCUGGCCUCCAUGGAGCUCGCCUCGGCCUUGAACUGGGGCUCAACGGGGCCUCCCGGCCCGGUUCAUGGCCGCAGCCGUCUCGGCUGUGCACGCCGGCAUCGUGACAUGGUGGCCAGGCGCUGGUAAUUGCCGCACCCGACCCCAGCAUACCCGAGGUGCCUGCAGGCCUCUCCACCAUCUCUGCUCCUGGUUCUGUUUCCUCGUGGACGCCAAAGGGGGUCGUGAGCAUUAGAUUGGUUUUUGAGCAUUAGAUCCAUUAACUGAAAGAUAUAGACAUACUCUGUAAUCUGUAUGUGCAAAGCUAGCUAGCUUGCAUUUUUAUUAGUUAAGUGCCGGCUUUCUGAGUUCAAUCCCCCAACUAAUAAUGGUGCCAAAUACCAGGUUUUUUUCUACAUACAUGGAUGCUUUCAUGAUCCACUUUACAUUUGUUUCCCCCUGGGUUCAGUCUGAAUCUUUACAUUACACUUAGAAUCCUACCAUCACCGUCACUGUCACUCUGCAUACAACAUUAAUUCUUAUAUCUAAAUCAGGUUGAUUAGCUUUUGAUGUAAUAUUAUCCGUCUUGCCUAAAAUAAAUCCACAUUCUUACACUCUGGUUUCUUCUUAUACAUCCUACAGUCACUUUCUUAUAAAUAUUUUUUAGCAAUUAGCGUAGAUCGAGAUGAGUUUCUUUCAACACAUUUUAAGACAUAAUGUCAUAUAUUAGAUGUUAUAUGUGCGUCAACAGAGCAGAGGAUUUAGGUUUAGUCAUCAUCUGCAUUGCAUUUGAUUCAGAUUACUAUAAGCUGAUUUUUAAUAGAUAUUUGGUCUUACACGAGUCACAUUGCAUUUUUUUCCUAUAGAUUCAGAGUAGUGUUUUCAUGAACCUAUCACUGAUACUUUGCCUUUCAUGUUCAUUCACAUAUGUCUGGUUUACCCACACAAGGGCACUGUCACAUCCCUAGCUUCUGGCAUUGCUCUAGCCUAGCUUCAUGUGUGCAUCAUGUCUAUAUUUUUGAAACUUGAAUUGAGGAAUAUUGGAAGCCUCAAAACCCUAAAUAAAAGAGGGGCAAAAACCCUAGAAAUCUCAUUCAUUGCUCCAAAAGGCUCUUCUUAAAUGUUUGAUAAUUUUUGGUAAGGGUUCUGGUCCCAACCAAAAUAUUGAACAUUUUUAAGGAUUUAUUUUUGGGACUUUGAAUUUAAAUCAUUAGCUAUUUGAAUUUGAAUUAUAUUCAUAUAAUUAGAAUAUAAUUUCAAAUACCCCUGAAAUAUUUUAUGAGCUUUUGGAAAAGUCCAUCUAGCAACAUAAAUUAUUCAGAGGAUAUUUGGCACUGUUUUGAAUUUGUUUAAAUUUGAAAACAGUGGCAAAGAAAAAAAAAAGAAAACAAAACAGAACAGAAAUAAAAAUAAAAAGAACAGAGUCUUACCUGGGCCCUUACCUGGCUGGCCCAGUGGACAGCCCAGCCCACUGGCCUGGUGCCAGUCGUCCUCUACCUCUGCCAGUAGGCAGAGGAGGGAGACAGCGCACGCGCGCGCCGUGGCGACACGCCACCUCCCUGCCUGCCUGCGUCCCUCGCCACCGCGACGCCUCGGGCCUUCUCCUCGGCGCCGCCUCGAACCCCUGGACCCCCUCACUCGUCCCCUUCGUCUCUCCUUCGCCUCUCCCUCUCGCACACCAGAACGCCUCCGCCGCCGCCGCUCGCAACCACCGCAACCACAGCCACUCCCUCGCCCCCUCUCUGCGUACCCGAGCUCCGCCCUGACCCCGUGGAGCUACCCACCGACGCACGCGAUCAGAGGAGGCUGAAAUUGACCGGAGCAUCAUCGCCUUCACCUCCGGUGCCGGAGAUCGACUCCAUCGAUUCAGCGCGUCCAGAGCUUCCCCGACUUCGUCGUCUCCUCCGCUAGCCCCUCCGUGAGCUCUCCUACGUUUCCCCUCUCUCCCCGUUGGUUUCCCGUGCAGUAUCCAUGCUAGCCACCGUACCGAGCGCCGCCGUCCGCCAUGGACGCCGGGCGUGGCACUGACGUGCUGUUGCAGCCAGUCCGACGAGCCUAGCGUGCUCCUAGCUGCCCCAGGAGUCCGCAUAGCCCCUCAGCCAGCCCCCUAGCGCCCCGUACCCUCGCUCCGCCCAAACCCGAGCUCCGGCGGCCGCAAAAGAGCUCGCCGCCGUUAGCUCCGGCGCCCCCGCAGCCCCCCCGUCAGCUCCCCUGGUUGCGGACGAAGACGGGCUACGCCCCGGUGGUCUUCGCGCGAUCAAACGCUAUCUGAAACGCAAGUCCGGCGAGUCGCCGCCGCGCUAAUGGUCGCCGCCGGCCAGAACUCCGGCGGGCUGACGUGGCUUAGUUAAUUAGUCACUAACCCCCCACCUACUGACGCUGACAAGUGGGCCCCAGGGCUUAGUCAAAGCUAACCAGCCCAGGUUUGACUCGGGGUUAACCCCCUGUCACUGACGUGUGGGUCCCACACGUCAGGUUUGACCCUGGCCGACCCCUGUUGACUUGCUGACGUCAUGAUGAUGUCAGGCUGACGCAAUAAGUAUUUUCUGGAAUUUAAAUAAUCUUAAAUGAUUUAAUAAUUUCAGAAAAUAGCUAAAACUUCAAUAAAUCAUAGAAAAUUAACCGUAACUCCAAAUUAAAUAAUUUAUAUAUGAAAAAUUAUCAGAAAAAUUCAAGGAAUCCAUCUGUACCAUUUUCAUGCAUGUUAGAACAACUUAUAGCUGCUGUUUAGCACAAAUCAAAUAAAGGGCAUUUAAAUAAUCACAUAUGGAGUUUGAAUUUGAAUCUUGUAUUCAAACCAACUUCAUUUAAUCUGUUGCUAGUUGCAUUGGCUCAAAACACAUUCAUUUUGCCAUGUCAUGAUCAUGCAUCAUAUUGUGCAUUGCAUUGAUUGUGUUCCCUUCUGUGUUGCCGGUAUUUGUCCCCUCUCGAUAGACGUGAUACCGAUGAUGUGAUCGUUGACACUGAUGAAGACUCAAUGUUAUCUUCAAAAGUGCCAGGCAAGCAAAACCCCCUUGUUCAUUCCGAUACAAUCCUACUCUCUCGCUCCUGCUCUCUUUUAAUGCAUUAGGACAACACCGAUUUUUCUGUUACUUGCUGCGGUAGCUGAACCCCUUUAUCCUUUGCAUGACCUGUCAUUGCCACAGUAAAUAGAUGAAACCCACUAGCAUGAGUAGGAGUUGUUUGAGCCCUGUUGUGCCUACUCAUUCAUGCUUGUUUGUCAUGCCUGCUACUGCUUAGAGUUGAGUCAGGUCUGAUUCAUCGGGGAUGAAUCAGAGGCGUGUGAACAUGUCCUACUGUGUGUGAGCCAAGUGUGUGAACACGUUUUGGUAAAGGUAGCGGUGAGAGGCCAUGUAGGAGUACAUGGUGGGUUGUCUCAUUGAAGCCGUCCUCAGGAACUGAGUUCUGUGUUUGUGAUCCAUGAUUCAGCUACUACCAUACAUUGGGCCCUGAAAUAUGACCCCGCUCGACUUCUUAUUCACCCUUGUCCUCUGUCCAGGAGUUGCAAGUAGUUUCUGGUGUUUGUAGUAUGCUGGAGGCCGUGGACAGCGCUGACCGUAGGGGUGGGCUGUGAUGCGGUAGGCACGUGGCCGGGUAGACCGGGCGCCCGUUUGGUGUCACGGAACCCUGUUCACAUCGUUUGGGGCUGUGAGCGAAACUCCGGCCGGAUCUCCUCAUGGAUGGAACCCGAAUAGGCGAUAAACCUGGACUAGAGACUUGAGUGUUUAGGUAGGUCGUGGUCUACACCCACGUCGGCUUUCGCUUGAAGUCUGCCGAGCACAUGUCGUGUGCAGACGCCACUCUCUCCCCCGUCCUCACCCUCUCCCCUGGAUCUCUCUCUCUCGCGCCCGACAGCUGCCGUCGCCGCCGUCCACCAAUCGCUCGGCCACAGGGCCUCCCUCGCUCCCCCAACUAGCCCACCAGCUCCGCCACUCCAUCCUCACCCUCCCCGCCAUCUCACGCGACCGGAGAAGCCCCGAGGCGCCGCCCCGCCGUUCUUCCCCUCUUCGGACCCGCCGGUCGCCAUCGACGAAUUCGUCGGCUCCGGGCCGUCCCCGACCUCGCCGAGCAUCCCAUCGUGAUCACUGUGAGCUCCUACGUCGAUUACCCCUCUUCCCCGGCCUCUCCACGCUCCCUAGCCACGGCUCCACCUCCGGCCGAAGCUCUGCUCCGCCAUGGCCGCAGCUCGCGCGCUCCCCGUGCUCCGCUCGUUACUCCCCUGCAAUAGGCGUGCUCCGGAGCGCCUCCCCUCGUCGCUGCCUUGCUCAGACCCCUCGCCUGUGAGCCCUAGCCGCAACGCCGCACCUCGCCGAACUCCGGCCGCCGCUAAAGGUCGUCGCCGACCACUCUCCGGCCACUCCCCGGCCGCGCCACCACCCUGGUUGGAUGCGGACGAGCGUCCGCAUCCCGUAGUCGUGCUCCGCGCGCCAAACGGCGCUCUGUAGGCCAUUUCCGAGCCCUCCGCCGCGUCUGGACUCGCCGGCGGCUAAACGCCGGCGACCGCUGACCGAUGACCGGCGUGGGUUGACCCACUGCCAGGUUUGACCCCCCCCCUCUCUCUCUCACUGACCUGCGGGCCCGCCCGGCUAAUUAGGCUAGGAUUAAUGUUAAACUAAAUAUUAGUUAGUUAUUAGACGCUGACCAGUGGGCCCAACCCCCCCUAAUCUUUUAAUUAAACUGAAUAAACCCCUGUUAACCCCCUGUCACUGACCAGUGGGCCCCACUGGUCAGGUUUGACCCGGACCAGCCCCUGUUGACUAUGCUGAGGUCAGCAUGACCUAGUGCUGGCGCAAUAAUUCCUUUCUGGAAUUUAGAUAAUUAUUAAAUGAUUUAUAAAUUCCAGAAAAUUAUAUAAACUUCUAAAAAUCAUAGAAAAUUAACCGUAACUCCAAAUUAAAUAAAUUAUAUAUGAAAAAUUAUCAGAAAAAUUCAAGGAAUCCAUCUGUACCAUUUUCAUGCAUGUUUGAACAAUGUUUGUCCUCUGUUUUGGACAAAACGAAUAAAGGGCAUUUAAAUAAUCAUAUAUGGAGUUGGAAUUUGAAUCAUGUAUUCAAACCAACUUCAUUUAAAUCAUAGCUAGGUGCAUUAGCUCAAAUCACAGCAUAUUGCCAUGUCAUGAUCAUGCAUCAUAUUGUAGCAUUGCAUUGAUUGUGUUCUUUCUCAGUUACCGGUGUUUGUCCCCUCUCGGUAGACGAUGUCCGACGCUGUGAUCAUUGACACUGAUGAAGACUCAAUGUUAUCUUCAGAAGUGCCAGGCAAGCAAAACCCCCUUGUUCAUUCCGAUACAACCCUACUCUCUCGCUCCUGCUCUCUUUUAAUGCAUUAGGACAACACCGAUUUUUCUGUUACUUGCUGCGGUAGCUGAACCCCUUUAUCCUUUGCAUGACCUGUCAUUGCCACAGUAAAUAGAUGAAACCCACUAGCAUGAGUAGGAGUUGUUUGAGCCCUGUUGUGCCUACUCAUUCAUGUUUGUUUGUCAUGCCUGCUACUGCUUAGAGUUGAGUCAGGUCUGAUUCAUCGGGGAUGAAUCAGAGGUGUGUGAACAUGUCCUACUGUGUGUGAGCUAAGUGUGUGAACACGUUUUGGUAAAGGUAGCGGUGAGAGGCCAUGUAGGAGUACAUGGUGGGUUGUCUCAUUGCAGCCGUCCUCAGGAACUGAGUUCUGUGUUUGUGAUCCAUGAUUCAGCUACUACCACGCAUUGGGCCCGAAACCAAUGGACCCUCUCGGCUUCUUGAUCACCCUUGUCCUCUGUCCAGGAGUUGCAAGUAGUUUCUGGUGUUUGUAGUAUGCUGGAGGCCGUGCGCAGUGCUGACCGUAGGGGUGGGCUGUGAUGCGGUAGGCACGUGGCCGGGUAAACCGGGCGCCCGUUUGGUGUCACGGAACCCUGUACACAUCGUUUGGGGCUGUGAGCGAAACUACGGCCGGAUCUCCUCAUGGAUGGAACCCGAAUAGGCGAUAAACCUGGACUAGAGACUUGAGUGUUUAGGCAGGCCGUGGCCGACACCCACGUUGGGCUUCCGCUUGAAGGUUGCCGAGUACAUGUCGUGUAAACGGCGGUAAGUGGUGAGAGCGUGUGUGAAGAAGUACACCCCUGCAGGGUUAACAUGAUCUAUUCGAAUAGCCGUGUCCGCGGAAAAGGACUUCUGGGUUGCUUAUAUCAGUUCAUAGACAAGUGAAAGUGGAUACUCUAAAAUACGCAAGAUAAGCGUGAGUGCUAUGGAUGGCGUUCUCGUAGGGAGACGGGAGCGGUUCCAUAGUGGUGUAUUGGUUGGUGAAUAUGUGGACUCGUGUGCGCCACCUCAAAAGAGUCGCUUGCAGUCGUAGUUUAGGAUAGCCACCGAGUCAAAGCUGGCUUGCUGCAGUUAAACCCCUCCAUCCCCUUUGUUGAUAAUGAUGCAUAUGUAGAUAGUUCUGAUGUAAGUCUUGCUGGGUACAUUUGUACUCACGUUUGCCUAUUUUAUGUUUUUGCAGAGAGACUUCGGUCUCGCUAGUAGUUCCACGUGGUCUUCGACGUUUAGCUUGUUACCUCAGCUACGAUCUUGUGCCUCGGCAGGAUUUGGUAGAUAGUCAGGCUUCUCAGCCUUUUUCAUUUAUAGAUGUCUGUACUCAGACAUGAUAGCUUCCGCUUGUGCUUGAUUUGUAUGCUCUGAAUGUUGGGUCAUGAGACCCAUGUUUGUAAUAUCUCGCUCCUCGGAGCCUAUUGAAUAGAUUACUUGAGUCAUAGAGUCAUGUUGUGAUGCCAUGUUGUAUUUGCACAUAUCGAGCAUAUUGUGUGUAUGUUAUUGAAAUGCUUGGUAUGUGUGGGAUCUGACCAUCUAGUUGUUUAUCUUUAGUAGCCUCUCUUACGGGGAAAUGUCUCCUAGUGUUUCCACCGAGCCAUGGUAGCUUGCUACUGCUCCGGAACACUUAGGCUGGCCGGCAUGUGUCCUUCUUCGUUCCUGUGUCUGUCCCUUCGGGGAAAUGUCACGCGGUGAAUACCGGAGUCCUGCUAGCCCAGUGCUACAUCCUGGAUUCACUCGCUGAUGACCGACACGUUCGAUGCUGGGUCAUGGAUGCCUGUCCCUGUAAGUCUGUGCCGCUUUGGGUUUACGACUAGCCAUGUCAGCCCGGGCUCCUUAUCAUAUGGAUGCUAGCGACACUGUCAUAUACGUGUGCCAAAAGGCGCAAACGGUCCCGGGCAAAGGUAAGGCGACACCCGUGGGAAUACCGUGCGUGAGGCCGCAAAGUGAUAUGAUGUGUUACAUGCUAGAUCGAUGUGGCAUUGAGUCGGGGUCCUGACAGGCACAAUGAUGAAUUUUACGGAGGAUGCUCCUGGUACACAACAUCCUUACUUCAUAAUCACCUAUCUAAAUGGUGCAGAACAUCAAUGCUUUGUUAAUGCUAAGUCCCAUGAUUGUUUUUGUGUGCAGUAAAGAAAGGCUCUGUUCUCUUAACAAGGAUGGAAAGUAUAACGGCAUACAAAAACCAACAUGGACAACCCAAAUCUGGUAAAUUAUUUACCAUUUCCUAUAAUGCAUAAAUUCUUGGUGUGGGUUAAAUAGCUAAACCUUCAAGACUACUAAAUCUUCUACAGGAACUCCAGAACAAUCUGACAUUCCAGUGGCUGCUAAUGACAAGCGUUCCCUUGCUGAAUGGCCAUCCUAUGCUCGCCGCAACCGUGCGUGACUACAGGAUGGUACUUGCUUUCGUUUACAUUUGUGUCAUCAUUUCUUACAAUCUAAUGCUGAAUAAUACAAUUUUUCUUGUAUGAUUUGGGCUGUAGAAGCUGGUGGACAGAAGAAGAAAGGGCGAGGUGUUCUAAAAGGUUUUAAAGCAUCUAAGAAGCGUUUUGCCAAUGGAUCUGCAAAGCUAAAUAUUACAUUCUCUGAAAAAUUGGGUGGUACAGUAGGAAUGAACUAUCGUUCGUUCAAGGAUGACGUGGUAGUCAUAAUGAAAAGAAAGUUACCACUCAUUGGAUUGAGGACGUGGUCGGACAUUCACCCUACCAUUCAUCGACUCAUUGUUGCAGAUAUGAUUGUAGGACAGAUGGGACCUGGAAGAUACACCAGAAACAGAAGAAAAAGUUCUCAAAAUUGCGAAAGAGAGAUAUAGAGGCUGGCGAUCAACUCUAAGCUCCACUUACAAGGCAUACAAAACAGAUGCAUUGGCUAAUCUGCCUGAAGAUUUACAACCAGAAGAGUGGGAAUGGAUGAUUGAGUACUUUGGCACUGAUUCAAAAUUUCAGGUUAUCUCUAAGAUCACGGUUUGUCUAUUAUGUGUUAAGGUGAAAUGGCUAGUCUCAUUGGUUAUAUCUGGUUUCAAUGAAUUGAUAGGAAUGCAGCCAAAAGAACGCUGAUAACCGUAAGAAACAGAAGACAAAACAUAUAAUCGGAUCAAAAUCUUACUCGCAAGUUAGUUUUGAGAAGGUACGAGUCCAAUUAAAUAUGUAUGCCUUGCUGCUAAAUAUGGUGUCAUGUUUCAAGCAUCUCAUUGUUAUAUUAUUUGCAGAGAAACUUAGAAACUGGAGAAGAGCCAGAUUGUAUUGCUCUAUGGGAACUCACCCACACAAACAAUGGAACAUGGUCUAACACAGAUUCCCAGAAAGUUUACGUGAGUACACUGACUUUUGGUUAUUCUAUAGUUAGUCAAUGAUGUGCAUUCGGCAUGUUUCAUCAUCAGAUGUGAUUAUUCAUGCAUUGGACCGUGUUAUUCUUGUUUCAUCUUUUAUAGUGUCAAUAUUUAUGUUGCACCUAUAAUUGUUCCUAUCAUUUUUAGGACCAAGCACUUGAAGAGGUUAAAAACAAAGAAGCUGAAACUGAAGGUCCACUUUCAAGUGAGCAGAAAAACAAUGUUUUCCAGACCGCUUACAAAGACACUCUGGAAUGCAAGUCAUCGCAGCCUCGUGGGUACGGAUACAUGGCCAAAACUUCAACUGGUUCUGAAAAGUUCCGUAUCCAGAUUGAAGAGCAAGCUCGUGCUACAGCAGCCACCCAGGAGUGAAACUCUCAGCUCAGCCAGCAGGUUAAUGACUUAGAAGAUCAACUACAAGCUGAACGUGCUAACACACAAGAGAGGAUUAACUUGGAGCGUGCUGAGAGAGAACAACUUGAGGAGAGGUUAAAACAAGAGCGUGCUGAAAGGGAAAGAUUGUUGCAAGAGGAGCGAACAUCAAGACUGGAAUUUGAAAAAAAACAUGAUGGCAAAGUUUAUAGAAUUGAGCAAACAGAUGGAAACCCAACAGGUGAUGGUGAUUACAGUCAUAUGCUUCUGACCUUGUAAGAUUUAUGUUGCUUAUUUGUAUUGCUAAAAGUGGACUUCUAUUUACAGGUUCCUACGAAGAGGGUUGACAAAGAAAAUAGUAAUCCAAACUUGCAAAAUAUUCUUUCACAGACAUCUAGUCCUAAUAAGACUCCAGGUUCAAGGCCGACUGCUAUUUCUUCAAAUGCGCUCAUACAAGCUGCAGCAAGGCAAUCUCGAAUGUAUAAAGCAAUGGUAAGUCACAACCUUGCUUUCUCUUCAUGUUCACCUGCAUUUUAUACGUCCUUGGUCUUCAUAAUUAGCUAGCUGCUUCUUCUCUUUUACCAUGUGUUGUUGCUGCAUCGAGUCACAACUUAAACAAAAUACAAAUAUGUGCUAGCUAGGGACAUGAACUUAACUGAAACUAUACAUCUAGUCAUAACUUAAAUCAAUAGCAGGAGCUUUUAGUAGAUGUACGAUCGGACGAUGGUACCAUUCUGUAUGCACGAGCAGGAUGUCAUGAUCAUGCGCGUGAUGCCUUCGCUGAUGAGUCCACUGCAAUGUCACAUGUAGUAUCUCUUCCUGUUGAUAUAGGGGUCGUGAGGGUCGUUUUUUAAACGGACUCGCAACUCCUGAUGGAAGCACUUAAUAUCAAUAAGGUGGACUUGUCGGCCUAUAUGCUGUUAUUGAGGAUACCAAGUACCCGCUCAUAUUAUGGUUUUCUUAUUAUGAAACAAAUGUAUGUCGUCGCUCGGCAAACUUUGUUGCUCAUGAGCUUGCUAGUCUUGAUAGGAUGUUAGAACCUAACUGGAAUGGGGGCCCGAUGUACUAGCCCUUGUGGCUGCUCUGUGUUUUGGGUGAUUCAGCCCAACACCAUUAAGUUAAAAGCAAUGUUUUUUUCUCAAAAAAAUCCCUUUUAGUAGAUGUACUUUAGGUUAUGCCUUAGCCAUUCACACUUGUAUAGUUGUUCUGAUGCCUUAGUUACAUGCUUGCUGACACAGUAUUAGCUAGUUAGUCUGGCAAUAGUUUUUAACAAUGGAGCUGGCAUAAUUGUAUGGCGUAUGUUAUGUUUGACUCAUUAACUAGAACUUUUUUUAUUUCUUGAUUGCAGGAUCCAAAGAACUAGCUGGACUGGACUCUAGAUCACGGGCAGUUUAGUCUUCGAAGUUAAUUAGGAUGGCUAAAUUACAUUUGAGUUUUAUUUGAUGGAUAUUUUCUAUCAGAAGUAUGAAUUGUAUGAAUCUAGAUAUUAUAUGUAUGGUUUUGAAUAUUUUAAUUGAAACCCUGUAAAAAAAAUUUACGAUUGCAAUAGACUAUUACCACAACCCAUUUUUGGUUGCCACAUGCUAGCACCACUAAAAAUAUAGUGUUGCAUCAUAUCUCAGUUGCUACGCCUAUCUGUUUUGUUGCACUAGAAUGUUGCAACGGAGCACUUUAUAUUGUUGUAAUAGCUUCGCGCCACAAGAAAUUUCAUGAUGCGAUAACAGUUUAGCGCCACCAAAGUAAGUUUGUUGAAAUAGAGUAUCGCCACGGAAAGUUUAAAUUGUCGCAAUAAUUUCUCGCUACAAAGAUGUUACUUGUUGUGAUACCUAUUUGUCACUAUCAAAAGAAGUACGUUGCAAUUUCCUGUUACGACGAUUGGAAUAUUUGUUGCCAUAAGUUAAUGCCACAAGCGAAGUGGGUCGUGGCAACAUGCCUAAUGCCACGAAAACAAGAAUUGUUGCCAUAGUUUAUUGCCACAAGUAUAGUGGGUCGUGGCAACAUGUCUGAUGCCACGAAAAUAAGGAUUGUUGCCAUAGUUUGUUGCCACAAUUGAUUAUUGCCACGAAAGAGUAAUGCGCCACGAAAUGGUCGUCGUUGUCAUAGGUUGUUGCCACAAAUGUCUAUCGCCACGACAUAUCAGUCUCCACAAUUCGGUACAUGUUGCAUUAAAGCUAUCUCCACAAAGCAAAUUGUGGCAUCAGGUGAGUGUUGCCACGGGAAAACAUGUGGCAAGUUCCCGCAUGGAUGUUGCAAUAGCACACUUUAUUGCCGCAAUUGCCUUUUCAUGGUAAUAACCUAUUACCAUGUGUCCAGUUGCAACGGCUGCCAACGAAUGUCGUUUCGUGGCAAUAGGUACUUAUCGCCACGAAACAUCAUGUAUUGCAACAAAUUUUUUUGUUGCAAUAGACCCGGAUCCUUGUAGUACUAGUGGAGUACUGACAACAUCCGUAGUAGAGUAUACAAUGCUCAUAGUACUCCCUCCUUCCAUUUAUAUAUGGCCUAUGUGGAGGAUAGAGAUGUGAAAAAGUAAGGGGAGUGAGCUCUCAUGCAAGAGCCUAGCUAUAUACGCAUUCCUAGUUAAAUACAAUAAAUAUGAAGAAAGAGAUAGAGAGGAGAUGGAAAAAAGUACUAAUACAUUAGUCAACCCUAUUUUUUUCUUCAGGAAAUAGUCAACCUUAUAGCCCAUACUACUGUAUGGGUGCAUAUAGAUGAUGGCUAUAGAUGACAUGGCAGUUCCUUAUAGCCAUCGGCUAGCUAUAUUAUUAACCAUGCUCUAAUGCGUUUUUCAAAACCGCCUUUGACUAUUGACAAGAUUAAUAGUACAUGAGAUGUAUAAUGUGAAAAUGUUAUCAUUGGAAGCUCCUUUCACAUACGAAUUUGACCGUAUGCUUUGUGUAAGUUGCAUGUCAUAUAUUAUUACUCCAACAUUUGGUCAAAGUUAGCCUCGGAAAACGCAUUAGGCCCUGUAUAGUAAAUGGAAGGAGGGAGUAGUAGUGGAAGUGGAUCCUCUGAAAUAGGUAUCCCUGUUGUACCCUCCCUUUCGGUCACUUACUGGUGGACCCCAUGCUUGCUAGGCCCUGCAUGUCAGUUACUCAAUGGGUUCGGCCACGUCAGGGGAUCCUCAUCUGUAGUAUACUCCCCCUGUUUUUAUUUACUCCGCAUAAAACGGAGGGAGUGGUAGUAU
rnacentral:lncRNA from 1 species